GAUGAACGCUGGCGGCGUGCCUAAUACAUGCAAGUCGAGCGAACGGACGAGAAGCUUGCUUCUCUGAUGUUAGCGGCGGACGGGUGAGUAACACGUGGAUAACCUACCUAUAAGACUGGGAUAACUUCGGGAAACCGGAGCUAAUACCGGAUAAUAUUUUGAACCGCAUGGUUCAAAAGUGAAAGACGGUCUUGCUGUCACUUAUAGAUGGAUCCGCGCUGCAUUAGCUAGUUGGUAAGGUAACGGCUUACCAAGGCAACGAUGCAUAGCCGACCUGAGAGGGUGAUCGGCCACACUGGAACUGAGACACGGUCCAGACGCCUACGGGAGGCAGCAGUAGGGAAUCUUCCGCAAGGGGCGAAAGCCUGACGGAGCAACGCCGCGUGAGUGAUGAAGGUCUUCGGAUCGUAAAACUCUGUUAUUAGGGAAGAACAUAUGUGUAAGUAACUGUGCACAUCUUGACGGUACCUAAGCAGAAAGCCACGGCUAACUACGU
rnacentral:rRNA from 1 species